ensembl:lncRNA
GGACCUUUCCCUUAGGAACCCGUGUUGGCUGUGACCAAUGACCGCAUUGUCCCGCAGGUGUUUUUCAUUAACUCCCAGCAUAAUUUUGUCCAUAAUUUUACCAGGCACUGAAGUGAGUCUGACAGGCCUGUAACUACCAGGGUCUUCUUUCUUGGCCUUCUUGAAUACUGGAAGGUUUGACAGCUUCUCAUCGCCUGGGACUUCUCCAGGUUCCAAAGACCAUUGAAAAAUCAUUGGGCGAGGUCUCGCAAUGACACUGGCCAGCUCUCUGAACACCCUGGGAUGAAUCCCAUGGGGUCCUGUGGUCUUAUAUACAUCCACGUGGAGCAGCAAAUCCUGCACAAGAUUGAGGUUGGCUGGAAUUUGAUCAUUACCACUAACAGUCCUCCAACUCAGUGUUGAAGAUAGAGGCAAGGAAAGCAUUUAACAUCUUUGCUUUGUCUAUGUCCUUGUUUGUAAGACAGCUAUUCCCAUCAAGAGGACCAGUGUUCUCUCUGGUCCUCCUUUUGUUGUUAAUGUUGUUUUUUUAAAAAAAAGCCUCUUUAUUGCAUUGGCCAGCUUCAACUCUAACUGAGCUUUGGCCACACAAUUUUUCUCCCCAUACAGGCAAACAGCAUCCUAGUAGUCUUCUCCUGACACCUGACCUUGCUGCCAGCAGCCAGACACUUACUGCCUAAGCUCUAGCAGAAGAUCCCUGUUCAGCCAAGCCGGCCUUCUACCCCUCUUGCUUGACUUCCAACAUUUUGGAAUUGCCUGUAGCUGUGCUCUCAGGAGGUGGUACUUAAAAAGUGACCAGCACUGAUGGACCCCAAUGCCUUCAAAAACAGCUUCCUAGAGAGUCUUACUAAUAAGUUCCCCAGGCAGACUGAAAUCUGCUCUGUUGAGGUUUUGGUGGCAGAUUUCCAAAGAUUUUCAAUUUCACCACUUCAUGGUCACUAUAGCCAAGAUGGCCACCAAUCACUACAUCAUCCACUAGACCUUCUCUGUUCACAAACAGCAGAUCCAGGAUGGCAGGUUUCCUUGUCAGCUCCUUUAGUAUCUGCACCAGGAUUUUGUCACGGAGCUGUUUUAGGAAUCUCCUGGACUGGCCUGUAUCAGCUGUGUGGUGUUCUCAGUUAACAUCCAGCAAGUUGAAGUCCCCAGUAAGGACAAGGGGAUUUCUCUAUUUCAGAGUUUCUCUUGAAGAGGAGACAGGAAAGAAGAAGUGUCACAGGGAAACUGCAUAUCCCAGCACCCCAGCCUCAGAGCUUUGAGCCCACGGGCACACUUGUGAUGCACAGCUCAGCCCAAAGCAGUGCCUGCAGGCACAGGGCAGCGCGGUGGGGUCAGAGGGCAGAGCUGCAGCAUGACAGCACUGUGAAACUCCUGUGAUAUUUGUUCCCUCUCUGCCUUCAUCUCACUGAAGGGGUUGCUCUCUGCUCCUCUCACCAACAGCCUCUCCCUUCCCACUAACAGCACUCCUGCACUCCUCCACUCUGGAUACGAGCACCUGGCUCCUGCAUUCAUGCACCUUUCCCUUUGGCACUUCUGAGGCCACCUCAGCAAAUGCGACUCAUACAACAGGGCAGCACCAAAGACAUUUUCAAACCACGUAUUUGCUGUCACACCACCAUUCUCAGGGCUCUGACGUAGAGCUGAUAGAUCCAGCCAGAGGGAUGCUGCUCAAGCUCAGGCAUUUGGAAAAUGCUGAGGAUGCUGCCCUCAUUGGGCAGGUGCCAGCCAGUAAAGGUCAGCAUCAGAAGUUGUCCCCGUGCACAACAGCCAGUCACUGGCUUCUCUUAAAGAGGAGAUAUGUAAGAGGAAGAAGUAUCUCAGGGAAUGGAGCAUCACAUUUGAAGCUAGACUGACCUCCUGCUUAAAAAACCUGUAACGGCCCAUGACCUCUUGGUGUUUUGCUACAAUCUUCUCUCCAAAAAGAGAAUAAAAUUCGGGUUAGGAGAAAAAGGGGCUUUCCAAUCAACUCAACUAAAGCUGAAAAUGAUGUUAGAAUCUGGUUCUAGCUGCUUUCAAUUGGUUUGAUUUACACAUGCGCAGAAAUCACCCUUCUGUCACAUGCUUUCCCUUUCUCUUUCCUAGUAUUGUUUCUCCAUGUAGCCCACAGCUGGCUGAAAAAGUCAAGGCUCUCCCCUUCCUGUCUAACGAGAAGCUGUUGGCCACGAUCAGUAGCAAUGUCCCAGCACAAACUGUCCCUGCAGCCCCUGGUGGCACUGCCCUUGCUGCAACCUGUCCUGCAGGGGCUGGUGUUACUGGGCUGCUCUCAUCAGCUCUUGGAUGCCGAGGACUUGUUAAAGAUGCAUUGCUUUAACCAAGACUCCUGAGAGAGUGUCCAGGCAAGUGUACUGUGCUUGGCUAAAUGCUCAGAGGAGCAAUAGUUAUUUAUUUUACAGGAAUUUAUCAUACAGACCUCUUCCCGGUGAUAUUUACCUCCCAUUUACCUCCCAUGCAUUGCAGCUGCUGCAGACAGGUGCAACUCUUCCCUCCAUAUCAGCUUCUUAUCAGCUUGCUGCCCACUGUAUGCUCCCCAGUGCUUGCUUGUGACUUUGGCCCACUUCUGUACACUUCUCAUUCCCAAGUGCUCGGGGUCCUUUAUCAUUAUUUUUUUGCUCCUGUAUAGGGGUCUAUAGUUUAUUUUUUCAGUACUGCCCUGCAAUCUGGUUUUCUUACCCUCAAUUAAUUAGAGUUAUUAAUCUUUUCACUGAAGAAAGAAUUAAUCUCCCUAAUUUCCUCCCUAAGUUUGGAUAGCCAGAAGGUGCUGGAAGCUGCAGGUAAUGACCACCGUAAAUAAUCUGCUGAUAUCUCCUGGGCUGUCUUUGUGGCGGCCCGCGUGGCACAACAGUGUGCUGCCUCAGCCAAACAGGCUUUUCAAUUCUUCUCUUUGGCCUUUUGCCCGUUCAGCAGCAGUGAGCUGAAUCCUUGCACUGCCUCUCUCCGGGCAGAUGCUGAUAUUUUGCAAACUCGCUGAAAUGAAAACUCCUUGUGAUACAAAUCAACAUGAGCAGAUACAAAUCAUGGUCGGAGUGUGGCAGGGUGCAGGUAAAUCUAGUUCCUCUUCUCCAAUAGCUUCUGCACAAG